rnacentral:lncRNA from 13 species
GUCACUGCAACCUUGACAUUAAAGAUGGGACUUUUUCUUUUAGCAUUUGGAUGCUUCCUUUUUUUUUUUUAAUUCCCAUUAAAUUCCUCCUUGGAAAGAAUGACUUGGGACAUAGUAUUUAAUUAUUAAUGAUCAACACAGCAGAACAGCUAUAAGAGACACAACAAGGCUUCCAUCUGGAAACCAGGAAGAGGGGCUUCACUAGGAAUAACAUCAAUGCUUACCUUGAUCUUGAACUUCCCAGCCUCCAGAACUGAAUGAUUCUGUUAACUACAGUGAGUUUCAAGUUUCUCUUCAAAGCAUCAGUAUGCCAGAGAUCGCUAUUUCUGAAAUGGAUAUUCUCUGAGACCAUCACAUCCCAGGUCUCUCCAGGUGGCUACUCAUCACAGACAUCUCCAGAGGACCACCGGUGAACUCCCAAGUAGAUCACCCAGCCUUGCUCAGCUUGAAUCUGUGAAAUAUUGCAUGAGAGUUCACCCACAACCUACCAACCCCCUAACACAUGGACGUGCUCAGCAGUUGGUACUCUCUAUUCCAUGAUCAGGAAGUAAACUUAUGUUGUGUUUGAAUCAGUAUAUGCCACAAAUUCACAAUAAACACA